rnacentral:rRNA from 1 species
UACAGAGGGGGCAAGCGUUGUUCGGAAUCACUGGGCUUAAAGGGCGCGUAGGCGGGCCGGACGGUCCGCGGUGAAAUCCCCCCGCUCAACGGGGGAACGGCCGCGGAUACCGCCGGCCUCGAGGGGGGUAGGGGCGAGCGGAACGCUGGGUGGAGCGGUGAAAUGCGUUGAUAUCCAGCGGAACUCCGGUGGCGAAGGCGGCUCGCUGGACCCCCACUGACGCUGAGGCGCGAAAGCCAGGGGAGCGAACGGG